AGAGUUUGAUCCUGGCUCAGGACUAACGCUGGCGGCGUGCCUAACACAUGCAAGUCGAACGGUUCCGAUGAAACCGCAAGGUGACAUCGGGAUAGUGGCAAACGGGUGAGUAAUACAUAGGUAAUUUACCUCUCACACAGGCAUAACCUCGAGAAAUUGAGGCUAAUUCCUGAUAGUUCCGGAAAAGUGAAAUUCUUUUUCGGAUAAAGAUUCCCCCCGAUAAAUCGGGGGAGAUGAUGAGAGAUAAGCCUGUGUCCUAUCAGCUUGUUGGUGAGGUAACAGCUCACCAAGGCGAUGACGGGUAGCUGGUCUGAAAGGAUGGUCAGCCACAGGGGAACUGAGACACGGUCCCCACUCCUACGGGAGGCAGCAGUGAGGAAUCUUGGACAAUGGGCGAAAGCCUGAUCCAGCGACGCMGCGUGGAGGAUGAAGGUCUUCGGAUUGUAAACUCCYUUUGCGGGAGACGAAGUCUUUCCGAUGUUAUGUCGGGAGGGUUGACGGUAUUCCGCGAAUAAGCCACGGCUAACUACGUGCCAGCAGCCGCGGUAAUACGUAGGUGGCGAGCGUUGUCCGGAAUUAUUAGGUGUAAAGAGCGUGUAGGUGUUCGGGUAAGCUCCAGUUGAAAUUCUCCUGCUUAACAGGAUGAACGGGCUGGAGAACUACCCGGAUUGAGUACGGGAGAGGGGAUUGGAAUUCCCGGUGUAGCGGUGAAAUGCGUAGAGAUCGGGAGGAACACCAAUGGCGAAGGCAGGUCCCUGGCCCGUUACUGACACUGAGAGGCGAAAGCUAGGGGAGCAAACAGGAUUAGAUACCCUGGUAGUCC
rnacentral:rRNA from 1 species